UACGAAGGGGGCUAGCGUUGCUCGGAAUCACUGGGCGUAAAGCGCACGUAGGCGGAUUGCUAAGUCAGGGGUGAAAUCCUGGAGCUCAACUCCAGAACUGCCUUUGAUACUGGCGAUCUUGAGUCCGGGAGAGGUGAGUGGAACUGCGAGUGUAGAGGUGAAAUUCGUAGAUAUUCGCAAGAACACCGGUGGCGAAGGCGGGUCUCUGGGGCCGAUACUGACGCUGAGGAGCGAAAGCGUGGGGAGCGAACAGG
rnacentral:rRNA from 1 species